rnacentral:tRNA from 1 species
CUUCUUAUAAUAUAAUCAUUAUAUGUUAAUUUCAAUAACAAUAUAGAUAUCCUUAUCUUAAGAAGA